rnacentral:rRNA from 1 species
UCCGGUUGAUCCCGCCGGAGGCCACUGCUAUUGGGAUUCGACUAAGCCAUGCGAGUCUAUGGUUUCGGCCAUGGCGGACGGCUCAUUAACACGUGGUUAACAUACCCUCAGGUGGGGGAUAACCUUGGGAAACUGAGGAUAAUACCCCAUAGAAAAAGCAGUCUGGAACGAUUCUUUUUCGAAAGCAUAUGCGCCUGAGGAUUGGACUGCGCUCGAUUAGGUAGUUGGUGGGGUAAUGGCCUACCAAGCCUACGAUCGGUACGGGCCUUGAGAGAGGAAGCCCGGAGAUGGGGACUGAGACACGGCCCCAGGCCCUACGGGGCGCAGCAGGCGCGAAACCUCCGCAAUGCACGAAAGUGCGACGGGGGGAUCCCAAGUGCUCAUGCACAGCAUGGGCUUUUAUCAAGUGUAAACAGCUUGAGGAAUAAGGGCUGGGCAAGUUCGGUGCCAGCAGCCGCGGUAACACCGACGGCCCGAGUGGUGGCCACUUUUAUUGGGCCUAAAGCGUCCGUAGCCGGUCCAGUAAGUCCUUGUUUAAAUCCUGCGGCUUAACCGCAGGACUGGCAGGGAUACUGCUGGACUUGGGACCGGGAGAGGACAAGGGUACUUCAGGGGUAGCGGUGAAAUGUGUUGAUCCUUGAAGGACCACCUAUGGCGAAGGCACUUGUCUGGAACGGGUCCGACGGUGAGGGACGAAAGCCAGGGGCGCGAACCGGAUUAGAUACCCGGGUAGUCCUGGCCGUAAACUUUGCGAACUAGGUGUUAGGUGGGCCCCGUGCCCAUCUAGUGCCGAAGGGAAGCCGUUAAGUUCGCCGCCUGGGGAGUACGGUCGCAAGACUGAAACUUAAAGGAAUUGGCGGGGGAGCACCACAACGGGUGGAGCCUGCGGUUUAAUUGGAUUCAACGCCGGGCAUCUCACCAGGAGCGACAGCAUGAUGACGGCCAGGUUGACGACCUUGCCUGAAGCGCUGAGAGGUGGUGCAUGGCCAUCGUCAGCUCGUACCGCGAGGCGUCCUGUUAAGUCAGGUAACGAGCGAGACCCGUGCCCUAUGUUGCUACUUUUUCCUCCGGGAGAAAGGCACUCAUAGGGGACCGCUGGCGCUAAGUCAGAGGAAGGAGCGGGCAACGAUAGGUCCGCAUGCCCCGAAUCUCCUGGGCUACACGCGGGCUACAAUGGCUAGGACAAUGGGCCGCAACCCUGAAAAGGGACGCAAAUCUCCUAAACCUAGUCGUAGUUCGGAUCGUGGGCUGUAACUCGCCCACGUGAAGCUGGAAUCCGUAGUAAUCGCAGUUCAUAAUACUGCGGUGAAUGUGUCCCUGCUCCUUGCACACACCGCCCGUCACACCACCCGAGUUGGGUUGAAGUGAGGCCUUGGCCUUUGGCUAGGGUCGAACUUGGGCUCAGCGAGGGGGGUGAAGUCGUAACAAGGUAGCCGUAGGGGAACCUGCGGCUG